GACGAACCGUGCGAACGUUAUUCGGAAUCAUUGGGCUUAAAGGGCGCGUAGGCGGCGGUGUAAGUUGGAAGUGAAAUCCCAUCGGCUCAACCGUGGAAUUGCUCCCAGUACUGCAUCGCUCGAGGGGGAUAGGGGUCUGCGGAACUACCGGUGGAGCGGUGAAAUGUGUUGAUAUCGGUGGGAACGCCAGUGGCGAAAGCGGCAGACUAGACCCUUCCUGACGCUGAUGCGCGAAAGCUAGGGGAGCGAACAGG
rnacentral:rRNA from 1 species